UUCAUCAUGUUGGUCAGGCUGGUCUUGAACUCCUGGCCUCAUGAUCCACCUGCCUCAGCCUCCCAAAGUGCCUAUUGUCCUGCUUUAUUUGGGCUUACUCGGUCUUCACUGGGAAACGUUCCUCAGCCCAUUUGGCCCAUGCUCCAAACUAGAGCGCUCCGCUAUCUGGUGCCUGUUUGGUGGCAAAAGUUUGCUGGGGGCAGGGUAGGAAAGGGCUGGCUCCUUUUAUGGGAUCCCUUGGGGCUGUGUCGAAAACAGACGGGGUGGUGGCAGAACAGAGCAGGGAUGCCAGGGAGGAGAGACUGCAGCAAGGCAGGUAGCAGGUGACGACAGUGGUGGGGCUCUGGGUGGCUGGGUGGGCUGGAGGGACAAGAAGCAAUCUAGGUGAUUUGGAGGCUGGUGAGUAGAGUCGCUGACAGGCUUGGGGAAGGUGUGAGAGGAAGAGAGGAGGGGCGGGGACUCCGAGGUUUUGGGUCCCAAUCAGUGAGAGGGAGGAUUUUGGAGAGCCUGGGGCUCAUUCUUGAUGCAUUAAGACAUCGUGGAGAUGUGGUGGCUGGGGGGAUCUGACGGUUUGGAGCUCAGGGAGAGGCUAGGGCUUGCGGUGUACACGAGUCUCCAGCUCCCUGAUGGUGGUUAAAGCCGAGAGGCUGCAUGGCAUCACCAAGGGAGUGGGCUUCGUGAAGAAGCAGACCAGGGCCUAGGCUCAGACCAGUGACAUUUCUCCCCGAGGAAAUCCAGAGACCUCCAGCAUUAGCUAAAUCUGACAGUGAGACAGACCCCAGGGAGAGGCUCAGAAGGAGAUGCUGCCCGGGCCUCCCCGAGGAUAACCAGGUGUUGGGACUAGGAGACAGAUGGGUACCUUUAUGAAAUCUAAAGACCUAAGGUGGAUUUAGCAGUACAUCAAGAAGAGAGAGCUUGAUUGAAUAAAGGCCAUGAAGCAGGCACACACUGCCCGUCACCCUCCUCAAACGUCGCAUAAAAGUAUCUUGCCAAUAAGCCACUACACACUGAUAUAGAGGGGAUAAGUCGUAACACGGUAAGUGUACUGGGAAGUACGCUUGGACGAAUCAAAGUGUAGCUUAAAUUAAAGCAUCCGGCUUACACCCGGAAGAUCUCACCAAUAACUGAUCACUCUGAGCUAGCUCUAGCUCCAACCUCAUAACUAUAUUAUUUAACUACAAUAAUUAAAUCAUUUACCUAUUAAAAAAGUAUAGGCGAUAGAAAUUAUAUUUAGGUGCAAUAGAUAUAGUACUGUAAGGGAAAGGCAAAAGCCUAAUAAAGCAUAAAAAAGCAAAGACAAACCCUUCUACCUUCUGCAUAAUGAAUUAACUAGAAAUAGCUUUAGAAAGAGAACCUACUUCACAAAGCGCCCUCACAAAUCAGAUGAUUAUCUUAAUCUUAUAAAUUAUUACUUUUUCCCCCAAGAACAGGGCUCAUUAAGAUGGCAGAGCCCAGCAACUGCAUAAAACUUGAAACUUUACAACCAGAGCUUCGGUUCCUCCUCUUAACAGCGUGUUUAUAACUAAUUUACUCCUACCAGUUAUUCCUGCUCUAGUCGCUAUAGCAUUCUUGACACUCGUAGAACGAAAAGUCUUAGGCUAUAUACAACUUCGUAAAGGCCCUAACACUGUAGGCCCCUACGGAACACUUCAACCAAUUGCUGAUGCAAUAAAACUUUUCACAGAAGAACCUCUACUACCCACCACAUCCGCUACAACCCUGUACGUAACCGCCCCAACCUUAGCCCUCUCCAUCGCUCUUCUCCUGUGAACCCCUCUCCCCAUACCUUACCCUUUAAUUAACUUGAACCUAGGCCUUUUAUUUAUACUAGCAACAUCAAGUCUAGCUGUUUACUCAAUCUUGUGAUCCGGAUGAGCAUCCAACUCAAACUGCGCACUAAUCAGCGCAUCAUGAGCUGUAGCCCAGACAAUCUCAUAUGAAGUCACCCCAGCUAUUAUUCCAUUGUCAACCCUACUCAUAAGUGGCUCAUUUAAUUUACAUUCACUUCUUACAACACAAGAGCACUCCUGACUUCUACUACCAUCAUGACUCCUAGCCAUAAUAUGAUUUAUGCCCACAUGAGCAGAAACCAACCGAGCUCCCUUUGAUCUAACAGAAGGCGAAUCAGAACUAGUUUCAGGGUUUAGCAUUGAAUAUGCUGCGGGCUCAUUCGCUCUGUUCUUUAUAGCAGAAUACAUAAAUAUCAUGAUCACAAAUGCCCUAACUAUUACUAUCUUUUUAGCAACACCUUACACUACAGCUAUACCAGAACUCUAUACAAUAAAUUUUAUCGCUAAAACCCUCCUCUUAACCACCCUAUUUUUAUGAAUUCGAACAGCAUACCCUCGAUUCCGCUAUGACCAACUAAUACACCUCCUAUGAAAAAAUUUUUUACCACUUACACUAGCACUAUGUAUAUA